rnacentral:lncRNA from 1 species
AUCCACCCACCCACCCGCCGCGGGCCUCACUCUCCCAUCGCACCCCCCCUCCUGCAACCCUAACUCAGAUCCCAUCGAACACCUCCUCCUCCCGCAAUCCUAACUCUGAUCUCCUUGCCGCCACCAUCUUCUCGUCCCCAUCUACUCGCCGCCGCCACCUACGGCGCCGGACACGACGUCCCGCACCGAGCCCAACAAACCCUCGCGCGCCCCAGCCCUUGUUCGCCGACGCGGCCAUGGCAGGAUCCUCCCUCCUCAAGCCAGCCCGAUCCUCCCCUCGAUCUCGUCGGAGCUAGCGGAGAUUGGGCCGCGGCAAUUCCCCUCCCCACCCAGCCAUAAAGCCAUGCCCAAAUCAAGCCUCCCCCUCCUCAGCCGCACCCACCCCCAUCCCCACUCCAAUCGCGCCGCCUGCCCUCGUCGACCACUCCUCCGCCCCGCCGAGUCACCGCACACUGUUGAGUGAGCUCGUUUCUCGUGUCACCCAAAGUCGCGGAUGGCCCUAAUUAAUUCCCCCCAAUUCGGUCCCCUCGUAGGCCGCGGUGCCGUCGCCGUGGAUGGGAUGUGCGGCGGCCGUCCCCCCAGCGUCAAACUCCUGCAGAUGGAGACGGCCUGCGGCGCCCUCAUGCACGAGCUUCAGGUGUGCCCGCGGUCUGCCAGCGACCAGGACGAUGCCGACGGCCUCCACAGUUGCUCCUUCUUAACAUUCGCGCGCCAGGAGAGGAGCCUCCGACCCCGACGCCAUGGAAGGUCCCCUCCCAUCUCCUCUCUCUGCUCGUUUCCAGAAAGGACAUCAUUUGUGCUAGCGAGUUGCCGCAGGAGAACAAAUCACGUCCUGCACUUCCUCCUAGUCUCCCAAGGCUUCUUGAUAUGUACACUACCAUUUUUAGAGGCUUAAUAGGACUGGUUGCUGCUCAAGCCACUUAUGGCCAAGGGGAGAACAUUGAGUUCAUGCUCCAAGAGCUUAAGAAUGAAGUCUUAUAUUAAGUUACUGACCCUAACUGUAAGACUAAAUGCAUGUGGAGACGCAUGAUUAAUGUUGGGACACCCAUUACUUACAUGGGACUAGAUUAUGCAUUUCAUAUGGGCAUGUUCGAUUAAUUAGGAUGCAAGUAUGUAACAGGAAUCCUAUCUGUGAGCUAGGUUUCUUUGCUUUGCUUUUCCUGUGAGUAGUACGUAUAUCUUAAUUAGUAUAGUAGCUUGUGGGCUAAUGGAGAAGUACGGUGGACGUGGCAACCAUAUAGGUGUCUAUCCUUUUGGUGAGCACCUGACAUAAUAACAGAGUGCUGCCUAAGCUAAUUACCUGGGCCAUUGCAACUGAUUGAGUGUCAUUGCAGAUGCAUAUUCUAGUUGAGAUGGUGACUUAACUAGACCACAUCUGCAUGCUUGUUACCAGGGAAGGCAUGAUCCUGUCACUAACACUGUCCAUUACCCCAUCUAUCUACAGCCAAGAAACUACAUAGCAGUUUACUAAAUUGAAAAAUUCUUAGACCGUUCGAUAAUUCAGCAAAUUCAGAUCCAAAGAAGCAGUUCAGUAAUUUAGUAAACUGAAUAAUUAUUAGACCGUUCAGAAAAACUAAGAUCGUUGAACGCUAGACCGUUCAAUAAUUCAGCAAAUUCAGACCCAAAGAACCAUUCAUGCAUUUACACAAUCAUGGUUUCCUCUGCUGUUUGUAAUUGUUCUAGUUAAUUAUGCUAGUAGAUAUCGUGUGGGAUCUGUAGCUGGUGUCUGUUGUGUCAUGUCCUCUUUGACGAGUUCAUUCAUUGAAAAAUAUUUCUUGAUGAGCUGCUUUCUGUCCAAAUGCAUACUAUUAUUAAGUCACGAUCAGUUAGCAAAUUUACAUGUACGCUCCAUUGUUUGUUAAGGUUUAGUAGCUAUUGUGCAAAAUUGGUAGUGAUUCUAUCGGUGAACAAGUAGGGUAAAUAUGUCACUGUAAAUCUGUAAAAUAGCUUCUUUAUAUUUUUGUCUCGCAUGUUCAGUGUUGUGUGUCUGGCAUGUUCAUAGAGCCACUUGUGGAGUGAGAUGAGAAUAACAAUUAUAAUUCUGUAAUGUUUGAUCGUAUAUACAUAUGCAAAAGUUGCUUGUGCAUUAUCGCUAGUUUUGGUUGCUGCUUUACUAAUAACUAUGAACACAAUAGUAUGUUUGUGAUCUUAUUGACUUGCAACUUUACCAUUUACAGAACCAUCAUCUUAUUUUAUUUUUUUCAUGUACAACUCGCCAAAAGAAGGUUGUGAAGAUAUUCCCAUGCCAGACAUUUGGAUCUCUUUGCCCCAUUGUGCAAUGUUGGUUGGAUGGCAGGGCCAGCUCUAAAUGUUGGUUGGAUGCAAGAGAGGAACUGUACUUGAUCCUCUGCUCGGCCAGCCCGUGGACGACCACUACUUCCUCGAGAAAGACCGGCAUCGCUAUCGACGUAAUUCACCACUCCCUGCACCAUGAACUAUGCUUUUUUUUUCGGGUUGCUCUCCCCAGUUGUGAAUGUUGUGCGUCAUGUUCUUGCUAAAUGCAAGGGAUUGUGUUGUCUAGUCAUCUGCAUUUACGGGAUAGCUUGUGGGGCCAUCAAUUGGGUUCAUUUUUUAAUUAGAUUGACUUAUUAUACAUCCCCAGUUUUUAUUGCUGGGUUAUUUGGUGAAAAGAACUGUUUUCCUGUGCACACGUCAUGGCACUCGCAGAGUGUUGCCAAUAAGUAGAUGAUGUAUCCGUCACUUUGACAUCUUUCUAUACUUUAGAACUACCACUUAUCAUGUUGCUUAUUUCUGAUGCUUUCUAAGUUGGUAUUAUAUUUCAGGAGUACUUGAUUCCCUUUUCAAAUUGUUGUUGCCAUGUGGUUGUCCUUCCCGUUAGUUUUUAAGAUUAUGGCUUAAUAUGUUGUCUCAUGCUGUUGAUUUCACUUGUGCACAAUCUAUUGGCUAAUCUUGACAAGUUUUGCUCUGCUGACUGCCCAUCCUGCUGCUCUUUGUGGUAAGAGUCCUUGAGUGCUGAAGUUCAUGUCUCGACUUGACUGUGCUUACGAUUAUAGGUUUACUCAAGUUAUACCAAGGGCAGUAAACCAUACAGCAUUCCUUUGUUUGUACUUGCUAGUAUUAAAUUUAUGCUCCUCGGGAAGUGCUGGUACUAGAUAUACCAAGCACCAACCAGACAAGGCUACAGUAUAGCUGAUCAGGCUUGCACUGCCCUGAGUGAUGCAAACCUAUAGUGGUUCUUUUAUAGUUCCUUAAUCUAAUGACUGAUUUCUAGUCUCCCUAUAUAUAUAAUAUAUAUAUAUAUAAAUAAUAUAAUAUAAUAAUAAUAAUAAUAAAGCACGGAUUGACUCCAUGGAUUCAUCGUCACAAUACGCUUCUUCCCGUAAGUUUAUGCUUUCACUUUGAAUUUAAAACAUAUACGCGAGGUGGUACUAAAAAAGUGUUCAUUGGCCGCGUACGUCAAUUCGUAUAAGUCGCUGUUUUUAGUCCCUUCGGCUCGCUCGACUGGGUCGUGUUGAUCGUUCCUGUCAACCGCGUGAUGAUUGAACUGGGUCUGGUCAAAAGAAAAAAACUAUGCAAAAAAUACUUCACGUGAGUUUCGAACUCCCAACCAAGGCCCUCCAUCCGGAAAGACGACGCCAACUCAGCUGGUCUGUUUUGUUCUGCAAAAUUGAGUCCCUGUAGGUACAAUAGUCCAACAUCGCUUCUUUGCACUCUAUCUUAUCGACUUUUAUACAUGCAGACUCAGCUGGUCGUAGCAGAAGUCAAUAAACAGAAGAUGGAAACCGGCAAAGAUGCAGAUAGAUGGUGGACAUAUGAGAGAGGUGAUGGGAUAAAGAACGACUGUCGGCGACACUUGGCCAGAAGAAGAGAGCUAAGAACGAGGGGGUUCGGAGAGCGCCGCAGCUUGACUGCGGUCCUCAUGGCUCCUAAUAAUCCAUCAGCUGCUAGCGGCGCUACUAUAGCUAAUUGUGAUUUGCAGUUUCUAUCAGCCUUUUGUGUAUGCAGUUUCCCCGUUAUUUUCUAAAAACUUGUCUAUGAUAAUUUCUAACAUACAAUAAUUGUGAAUUUGUGAUAGAUAAUUGGUUUAAAUUAUACUUUACACACUUUUCUGUAACUUAAAGUCUGCAUUUUUCAGAUGUACAGUACUAUUACAUAUCUAACGUACAUAAUGAACUCUUUAUAGGUCUCUGUUGUCCCAUAUGCCCAUUUGAAAUUUUA